rnacentral:misc_RNA from 1 species
CGCACAUUGCGCCCUUUGGUAUUCCGAAGGGCAUGCCUGUUCGAGCGUCAUUAUCAACCCUCAAGCUCGGCUUGCUGUUGGACCCAAGGGAAGUUGACCCUUCCCUGGUCUUGAAGACAAUGACGGCGUCUGGAGGACCCUCGACACAAUGAGCUUUUUAAGCACGUGUUGUAGUGGAUCUUUAGGCCCGGUCUCUCUUUAUUUUUUCAGGUUGACCUCGGAUCAGGUAGGGAUACCCGCUGAACUUAA